rnacentral:misc_RNA from 1 species
GAUGAAGAACGCAGCGAAAUGCGAUACGUAAUGUGAAUUGCAGAAUUCAGUGAAACAUCGAGUCUUUGAACGCACAUUGCGCCCCCUGGUAUUCCGGGGGGCAUGCCUGUCCGAGCGUCAUUGCUGCCCUCAAGCACGGCUUGUGUGUUGGGCCUCCGUCCUCCUCCCGGGGGACGGGCCCGAAAGGCAGCGGCGGCACCGCGUCCGGUCCUCGAGCGUAUGGGGCUUCGUCACCCGCUCUUGUAGGCCCGGCCGGCGCUUGCCGACACAUCAAUCUUUUUUCCAGGUUGACCUCGGAUCAGGUAGGGAUACCCGCUGAACUUAAGCAUAUCAAUAAGCGGAGGA